rnacentral:rRNA from 1 species
AUCAACGCUGGCGGCGUGCCUAACACAUGCAAGUCGAACGCGGUUACCCCGCAAGGGGUAACUGAGUGGCGAACGGGUGAGUAACACGUGGGUGACCUACCUUCGAAUGGGGGAUAACGUCCCGAAAGGGACGCUAAUACCGCAUAACAUCCUGCCUUUGAACAGGUGGAGAUCAAAGCUGGGGAUCGCAAGACCUGGCGUUUGAAGAGGGGCCCGCGUCUGAUUAGCUAGUUGGUGAGGUAACGGCUCACCAAGGCUACGAUCAGUAUCCGGCCUGAGAGGGCGGACGGACACACUGGGACUGAGACACGGCCCAGACUCCUACGGGAGGCAGCAGUGGGGAAUUGUUCGCAAUGGGCGCAAGCCUGACGACGCAACGCCGCGUGGAGGAUGAAGGUCUUCGGGAUUGUAAACUCCUGUUGCCCGGGACGAAUGGCUCCAACCUAAUACGUUGGAGUGUGACGGUACC